rnacentral:lncRNA from 1 species
CUGGCUUUUUUUUUCUUUUUUUUUUAUUGUGUUGUAAUAUACAUUUUCAAAAUUAAUUAACCAUUAACAGCAAGAUAAAUGUUUCUUCUUGUGUUAGGGAAAUGCUGGCCUCGGUGGUGAAAGAUUAUUUCACAUGAGCAGCACUCUUCGGGAAAGCUGUUGCCAGAUAAGGUGGCGACUGUACUUUGAAGAGGAACAAUGAGAAGUGACAGACAAGACCGUGUUUACCAAACUGAAUAGAGGACUCGCAGGUUUCCACUCACUGCUCGGUUACCUAAGCCCAGGGAAUCAAGGCUGGAGUGCUGUUUCACCAAGCCGGAUCAGUAACAAAGUGGUGGCAUCCCCCUGGCACUGCUCAGCGCUGGAUGUGUUUGAACACCGAGCUGAGGACUGAUAGAGCCAACAGGCCACGCUGUGGUCAGUGACAGACUGUCAGUCACUGUCAGGCUCUGAAGAGAGGAGGGAAUCCACACUCACAUCACCUAGGGCCACCCCCCAG